rnacentral:lncRNA from 1 species
AUCUUUAGUGCAAAUGAGGGCUAGGGACUUAGCCGCCACCACUUCCACAUUGCUUCAUUCUGUCAUUUGCUCACUGCAGCAUAUGCAAGAAUAAAGCAAUAUAGCUUACUGCAUUUUUAAUUGAAGGUCAGUCAUGCUUUCUGUAUUAUAUUGCAUAUGAAAUUGUUUACAAAAGAAACACCGACUCAUACUUCUCUUUAUCGAUUGCAAGUGUGGGGGGCAACCUUAAACCAAACACAUAGCUAUCAAAUAAUCAGAAUGUAUUAUCUCAGACA